UACGUAGGGUGCGAGCGUUAAUCGGAAUUACUGGGCGUAAAGCGUGCGCAGGCGGUUCGUUGUGUCGGCGGUGAAAGCCCCGGGCUUAACCUGGGAAUGGCCGUUGAAACUGGCGAACUGGAGUGUGGCAGAGGGAGGUAGAAUUCCACGUGUAGCAGUGAAAUGCGUAGAGAUGUGGAGGAAUACCGAUGGCGAAGGCAGCCUCCUGGGCCAACACUGACGCUCAUGCACGAAAGCGUGGGGAGCAAACAGG
rnacentral:rRNA from 1 species